GCUUGCUUCUAUGACGUUAGCGGCGGACGGGUGAGUAACACGUGGGCAACCUGCCUGUAAGACUGGGAUAACUUCGGGAAACCGAAGCUAAUACCGGAUAGGAUCUUCUCCUUCAUGGGAGAUGAUUGAAAGAUGGUUUCGGCUAUCACUUACAGAUGGGCCCGCGGUGCAUUAGCUAGUUGGUGAGGUAACGGCUCACCAAGGCAACGAUGCAUAGCCGACCUGAGAGGGUGAUCGGCCACACUGGGACUGAGACACGGCCCAGACUCCUACGGGAGGCAGCAGUAGGGAAUCUUCCGCAAUGGACGAAAGUCUGACGGAGCAACGCCGCGUGAGUGAUGAAGGCUUUCGGGUCGUAAAACUCUGUUGUUAGGGAAGAACAAGUACGAGAGUAACUGCUCGUACCUUGACGGUACCUAACCAGAAAGCCACGGCUAACUACGUGCCAGCAGCCGCGGUAAUACGUAGGUGGCAAGCGUUAUCCGGAAUUAUUGGGCGUAAAGCGCGCGCAGGC
rnacentral:rRNA from 1 species